rnacentral:rRNA from 1 species
AACGAACGCUGGCGGCGUGCUUAACACAUGCAAGUCGAACGCGAAAGGGACUUCGGUCCGUGAGUAAAGUGGCGCACGGGUGAGUAACGCGUAGAUAACCUGUCUUCAUGUCUGGAAUAAUACGCCGAAAGGGGUACUAAUACCGGAUAUUCUUGCUUUUCAUAAGUUAUGCAAGCAAAGGUGGCCUCUGCAUAUGCUACUGCAUGAAGAGGGGUCUGCGUACCAUCAGCUAGUAGGUGGGGUAAUGGCCUACCUAGGCGACGAUGGUUAGCGGGUCUGAGAGGAUGAUCCGCCACACUGGCACUGGAACACGGGCCAGACUCCUACGGGAGGCAGCAGUGAGGAAUAUUGCGCAAUGGGGGAAACCCUGACGCAGCGACGCCGCGUGAGUGAGGAAAGGCCUUCGGGUCGUAAAGCUCUGUCAAGAGGAAAGAAGUGUACAAUGGCUAAUACCUGUUGUAUUUGACGGUACCUCUAAAGGAAGCACCGGCUAACUCCGUGCCAGCAGCUGC